CACUCCCUCAUUUGUGAGAAACCCCAAAUCCUUCUGAGAUCCCGCACCCAACUCUCCCUCAUUCGAGGCGUAAAUCUGCUGCUGUUAUGAAUUGCAGCAAAUUUCAGCAUGCUUAACCCACACCACCGCUCCUUCUCUCUCCCUCAAAUCACCAUCAUCACAGCCCCAAACCAGCGAACCGACCUCCAUCUCAUACGCUCUUGAAGCUUGCGUCGUCGCUCGAUCUCUGCUUCGCCGUCACCGAGCACUGUCCCUGCGUACUUUUACCAGUUCUGGCACACCGCCACCACACUCUAUUCCAGAUCGCACCUCCUCCGCUUCCUGCAACCGCGCGCCGUCACCAUCCCCUAGCGCCGCUGCCAUCUAGUUUUGUACCCAGACGGACUUUCGGUGGCAUCGAUCUUUUGAUUGUUAUGUGGGCAGAUGGCCGGACCAUUGAACUGUGCAGCCAGAGAAAAUAUUUUUGCUUACCGUCAUCAGACCGGUUAUGGUUAAAUAGCGUGGAGAAGAUGCCUGUGCCAUCAACGUUGAACAGGAGCUGAAGGGAAAUUUUUCUAUACCAUGAUAUAAAGUGUUUUGUGGAUAAUCUGAUGUCAAUACUCAACUUGUGGGAGUCAAUUUAUACACUUCACAUCUUGUUUAUUUCUCUUUCCCAUUCAAGCUAUGUUCUCAUUUUAAUUUCAUUCAAAUCUAAUAUCUAUGCAAGGUGUUUUUAUUUAUCCAUCUUUCAUUGA